CGGAUUUUUAGAACAUCUGCGCCGGGGCCGCGUUAUCCCAGCGGUAGAAUCUUUCCACUGUACCUCGAGAUGCCUGACAAGUAAACCAGUUUUGUUGGAACUGUUACCGUGUAGCAGGCUAUUACGGUCGUGUGUGGUCACGUGGGUUCUGCUCCAUUUUGGCUCAGGGUAGCUUUGUCUUCCACCGCCGCCCCCUCUCCCGCUGCAAGCCCGUGACCACAUCUGACUCUCUCUUUUCUCGUUCUUUGACUUAUAGCUAGAUGGAUGGGCUGCAAGGCGGCGAUUCGAUGGCGCUGGCGCUCGGCCGCGACAUCAAUCCGCCGGCGCGGCGAUAGAUCCAACAUCGCCGCCGGCAAUCCAAUCUUAUCGGUGUGUGUGCUACUCCAUCCUGUGCUGGAAGAAUCAGGAGCACACCAGCGCCCGAGCAGUAAUGGUGGCAAGCCGAGCGACGGCGGCUGGGCGGAUUCCGAUACGGGACUCACGCCGGAGUCGAGAGUAGCUGCUUUCGCCCGGAUCCAAGGCCAUGGAGUGCCUUGAUUGCAAGAACCCGUAUGCUGUGUGUAGAGAUGUCGAGGGACCAAGUUGCCACAUAUCUGUUCCAAUGACAACUUUCUAUUGGUUUGAAUCUGCAAGUUCUUGGAGCAUAUAUUGAACAUAUGCAAUCCGUUGCGACCAAAGAAAAUAAGCCUGUGGGUAACCCAAUUUUCGCAACAAGAGAACUACUGGAGUAUGAAGUUAUGAUCGACCAUGGAGAUAAAAGGACCAGAAUUCAUGAAAUCGGUUGGCAAAGGUUUCUUGAUGAGUAUGCAGUGCGGCUUGGUGACAUGGUAUAUAUCUGCCUCCCUCGUGGUAAUGGGAGAUUUUUUGUGGAGGUUGAGAGGGGUGGUAUAAGGCAACUCCCACUUCCUUGUCAGUAAGAUUUACACAUCGUAUUUGCAAAACUGAUCUGGCACUCCUUGUCAAGCAUUUUACAUUUCACUGAAUAAUCUGUUUUUUGGCUUUUUAAAAUGUGAUUCUGGCGAGCGUUGAAUGGACUACCCCUGCUGCAUGAUGAUACAGGUUCCCAUGUAACGGCUUCUUUCAAAAAGGCAAACGAUGGCAGACUUCCAUACACGGACAACUUGAUUUGGAGGAAGACGAUCUUGUGGUUAUCACAAUUCACAGGCACUGGGUCUCCCUCCACAACAGUCCGGAUCUGCAUCCUAUCUUAAACUACUAAAUUAUGCCUAAUAUGCACUAGGGGCAAUACCGAUAUAUAGCUCACGGGAUGCUUGUUUCUUCUGUGUAAGUCGUCGUUUAAGGAUUUGUGGCAUUGUCAGUGUGGUCUAUGGCUAUAUGUAAGUUUGAACCUAUGCAGUAUCCGUGUCUAUUUUUAAGUUUUAGUGGCAUGUGACCAUCAAUGAUCACCCAUCCUGCUUUUUAUGUGCUG
rnacentral:rRNA from 1 species